rnacentral:rRNA from 1 species
UACGUAGGGGGCAAGCGUUGUCCGGAAUCAUUGGGCGUAAAGCGCGUGUAGGCGGUUCGGUAAGUCGGCUGUGAAAGUCCAGGGCUCAACCCUGGGAUGCCGGUCGAUACUGCCGGACUAGAGUUCGGAAGAGGCGAGUGGAAUUCCCGGUGUAGUGGUGAAAUGCGUAGAUAUCGGGAGGAACACCAGUGGCGAAGGCGACUACCUGGCCUGUUCUUGACGCUGAGGCGCGAAAGCUAGGGGAGCAAACGGG